GUCUCAGGCUAUAUCAGCCUGAAGGCGCCCGAUCUCGUCUGAUCUCAGAAGCUAAGCAGGGUCGGGCCUGGUUAGUAUCUUGGAUGGGAGACCACCUGGGAAUCCCGGGUGCUCGAGGCU
rnacentral:rRNA from 1 species